rnacentral:rRNA from 1 species
CCUACGGGUGGCUGCAGUAAGGAAUAUUGGUCAAUGGAGGCAACUCUGAACCAGCCAUGCCGCGUGGAGGAUGAAGGUCCUCUGGAUUGUAAACUUCUUUUAUAUGGGACGAAAAAAGGCUUUUCUAAGUCGUCUGACGGUACCAUAUGAAUAAGCACCGGCUAACUCCGUGCCAGCAGCCGCGGUAAUACGGCGGGUGCAAGCGUUAUCCGGAUUCAAGGGGUUGAAGGGGUGCUUGGAUGGCUUGGGAGAAAUCCACGAGCUUAACUUGGGAACUGCCAUUGAUACUAUCAGUCUUGAAUACCGUGGAGGUCGGCGGAAUAUGUCAUGUAGCGGUGAAAUGCUUAGAUAUGACAUAGAACACCAAUUGCGAAGGCAGCUGGCUACGCGGAUAUUGACACUGAGGCACGAAAGCGUGGGGAUCAAACAGGAUUAGAUACCCCAGUAGUC